rnacentral:rRNA from 1 species
GGCGUAAAGCGUGCGCAGGCGGUUUUGUAAGUCAGAUGUGAAAUCCCCGAGCUCAACUUGGGAACUGCGUUUGAAACUACAAGACUAGAAUAUGUCAGAGGGGGGUAGAAUUCCACGUGUAGCAGUGAAAUGCGUAGAGAUGUGGAGGAAUACCAAUGGCGAAGGCAGCCCCCUGGGAUAAUAUUGACGCUCAUGCACGAAAGCGUGGGGAGCAAACAGAAUUAGAUACCCUGGUAGUCCACGCCCUAAACGAUGUCUACUAGUUGUUGGUGGAGUAAAAUCCAUGAGUAACGCAGCUAACGCGUGAAGUAGACCGCCUGGGGAGUACGGUCGCAAGAUUAAAACUCAAAUGAAUUGACGGGGGCCCGCACAAGCGGUGGAUUAUGUGGAUUAAUUCGAUGCAACGCGAAAAACCUUACCUGGCCUUGACAUGUAACGAACUUUCCAGAGAUGGAUUGGUGCUCGAAAGAGAGCGUUAACACAGGUGCUGCAUGGCUGUCGUCAGCUCGUGUCGUGAGAUGUUGGGUUAAGUCCCGCAACGAGCGCAACCCUUGCCAUUAAUUGCCAUCAUUUAGUUGGGCACUUUAAUGGGACUGCCGGUGACAAACCGGAAGAAGGUGGGGAUGACGUCAAGUCCUCAUGGCCCUUAUGGCCAGGGCUUCACACGUAAUACAAUGGUCGGUACAGA